rnacentral:rRNA from 10 species
CUCUCGGCAACGGAUAUCUCGGCUCUCGCAUCGAUGAAGAACGUAGCGAAAUGCGAUACUUGGUGUGAAUUGCAGAAUCCCGUGAACCAUCGAGUUUUUGAACGCAAGUUGCGCCCGAAGCCUUCUGGCCAGGGCACGUCUGCCUGGGCGUCACG